CUUACAUUUAAAAAUAUGGAUUUAAUGGAUAGUAUUUUGUCUGAAUCAGACUCCGAAACUAAUUCAGACAAAAUACUAUCCAUUAUCCCCCCCCCCCCGGGAGUGGGAUGGGUAAAAUCCAAAUCUGGUAAAAUUUUGGCCUAUUUAGUAAAAUUUUAGCAAAGGUUUAGUAAAAUCCGCUGACAAACGUCUGGUCACACUGGCAAGACUUAUGUGAAGCAAAAUGGGUCUGAAACUAAAAACUAGACCUCUGGAGUGAAUAAAGCAUGAUUAUAUAAGAACUUGAAUUACCACUCGCACACAAACGAAUAGAAAUACCAGUUUUUGUUCUAACGUUAGUACAAAGACAAAGGCUUUGACCAA